CAGUCGCCGCGGUAAUACGAAGGGGGCUAGCGUUGUUCGGAUUUACUGGGCGUAAAGGGUGCGUAGGCGGACUGAUAAGUCAGGGGUGAAAUCCCAAGGCUCAACCUUGGAACUGCCUUUGAUACUGUUAGUCUUGAGUUCGAGAGAGGUGAGUGGAACUGCGAGUGUAGAGGUGAAAUUCGUAGAUAUUCGCAAGAACACCAGUGGCGAAGGCGGCUCACUGGCUCGAAACUGACGCUGAGGCACGAAAGCGUGGGGAGCAAACAGGAUUAGAUACCCCUGUAGUCCCUGUCUCUUAUAC
rnacentral:rRNA from 1 species